CAGCCGCCGCGGUAAUACGAAGGGGGCUAGCGUUGUUCGGAUUUACUGGGCGUAAAGGGCGCGUAGGCGGACUGAUAAGUCAGGGGUGAAAUCCCAAGGCUCAACCUUGGAACUGCCUUUGAUACUGUUUGUCUUGAGUUCGAGAGAGGUAAGUGGAACUGCGAGUGUAGAGGUGAAAUUCGUAGAUAUUCGCAAGAACACCAGUGGCGAAGGCGGCUUACUGGCUCGAAACUGACGCUGAGGCGCGAAAGCGUGGGGAGCAAACAGGAUUAGAGACCCGUGUAGUCCCUGUCUCUUAUAC
rnacentral:rRNA from 1 species